UACGGGGGGGGUAAGCGUUGUUCGGAAUUACUGGGCGUAAAGGGCUCGUAGGCGGCCAACUAAGUCAGACGUGAAAUCCCCAGGCUCAACCUGGGAACUGCGUCUGAUACUGGAUGGCUUGAAUUCGGGAGAGGGAUGCAGAAUUCCAGGUGUAGCGGUGAAAUGCGUAGAGAUGUGGAGGAACACCAGUGGCGAAGGCGACUUCCUGGCCUGUAACUGACGCUGAGGCGCGAAAGCGUGGGGAGCAAACAGG
rnacentral:rRNA from 1 species